UGUAUAGAACUUCUUUCUGCAAAGAUUAUGCUUCUCUUCACACUGUGUUGGGGGCAAAUCUCAGCUGCACAGAUUCACAGGAAAUGGUUCUGACCCUAGAUCCUGGAAUAGAGUUUCAUGAAGGCUGAAAUGUUCUGGAAGAUGAGGGCCAGAAAAACUCAGCUCAGUUCCGUUAUUUUGAAAAGAAUCUUCACUAUGACACUGAUGGAACCACAGAGUCCAUGAUAUUGCACCAGAUGCAACCUAGUGCAAAGUCUGGGGGAUGGAGAGAGUGUGGUGAAUGGAGCUUAUUCCCUCAACAUUAAUGAAUCCAUAGUUUUAGACUGUCUCCAAAAUAGGAGCAUAUAUUCACAUCCAUCAAGACCACCUAAUCCCAUCUGAGCUGCCAGAAUGACAAACGCUGCAUGAAUGACCCCAGACUAGACCAACAGAAGACCAUUCACUUCAACCUACCUCAAAUUGCUUAUCCACGGAAUUAUGAGUAAACAAAAUGGUUGUUUUAAAUCACUGGGUUUGUGGUGGUUUGUUAUACAAAAAAUAGAUUAGUAAUAUAAUUUGUUAAACAGUAAUUAAUGAGUGUUUAAUAUGGG
rnacentral:lncRNA from 1 species